rnacentral:rRNA from 1 species
AGUGAACGCUGGCGGCAGGCCUAACACAUGCAAGUCGAACGGCAGCACAGAGGAGCUUGCUCCUUGGGUGGCGAGUGGCGGACGGGUGAGGAAUACGUCGGAAUCUGCCUAUUUGUGGGGGAUAACGUAGGGAAACUUACGCUAAUACCGCAUACGACCUACGGGUGAAAGUGGGGGACCGCAAGGCCUCACGCAGAUAGAUGAGCCGACGUCGGAUUAGCUAGUUGGCGGGGUAAAGGCCCACCAAGGCGACGAUCCGUAGCUGGUCUGAGAGGAUGAUCAGCCACACUGGAACUGAGACACGGUCCAGACUCCUACGGGAGGCAGCAGUGGGGAAUAUUGGACAAUGGGCGCAAGCCUGAUCCAGCCAUGCCGCGUGUGUGAAGAAGGCCUUCGGGUUGUAAAGCACUUUUGUCCGGAAAGAAAAGCUUAGGGUUAAUAACCCUGAGUCAUGACGGUACCGGAAGAAUAAGCACCGGCUAACUUCGUGCCAGCAGCCGCGGUAAUACGAAGGGUGCAAGCGUUACUCGGAAUUACUGGGCGUAAAGCGUGCGUAGGUGGUUUGUUAAGUCUGAUGUGAAAGCCCUGGGCUCAACCUGGGAAUGGCAUUGGAAACUGGCUUACUAGAGUGCGGUAGAGGGUAGCGGAAUUCCCGGUGUAGCAGUGAAAUGCGUAGAUAUCGGGAGGAACAUCCGUGGCGAAGGCGGCUACCUGGACCAGCACUGACACUGAGGCACGAAAGCGUGGGGAGCAAACAGGGAUUAGAUACCCUGGUAGUCCACGCCCUAAACGAUGCGAACUGGAUGUUGGGGGCAACUUGGCCCUCAGUAUCGAAGCUAACGCGUUAAGUUCGCCGCCUA